rnacentral:pre_miRNA from 1 species
AAUAACCUCAUUUUUCGUUUUUCCGUGUUCAACGUUUGACCAUUCGUCUUAUUUGAAUUUUUUUGUAAUUAAUAUUUUUAUUAUUACUAGAUAAUAAAAUAUGAAUAGUAUUUUAUAUAUGACUAAUUUUUUUAGGUUUUUGCACAAAUUUUUUAAAUAAGACGAAUUGUCAAACGUUGAACACGGAAAAACGAAAAAUGAGGUUAUU